GCCGUCUUAGCUCAGUGGUAGAGCGCGUGGUUUUUAACCACGUGGUCGUGGGUUCGAUCCCCAUAGACGGCG
rnacentral:tRNA from 1 species